UUAAUAAUUGAAUAUUUCAAGAAUAACUCAGAGUCAAAGUUCAGGGAUGUUUAGUUCUAAAACUCCAUUUCCCUAAGACCAAAGAAGGGAACACAAGGACCAGAAUCCUGAUGCAUCUUCAUGGAGGUGCUCCAGACAUCCAUCUGCCAUGGCUACUUCUCCUGGGAACUAAACACGUGUGACUCUGCUAUCUGGUAAACUUUUAGAUCCCUCUACAGCCAUGAACAACCUUUACCAGAGCUUAUAAUUGUUUAUCUUAUGGGACUAAACUUUUGAUAACUAUGCUUAGACUUUAUGGACCUAGCAUACUCUUAAUCCUUGAUGAUAAGUGCUUAUUUUGCCUUUUACCUGUUUCACCCUAAUAAACCUUGUAUUGUUUAAACCA